GUUCCUACGGGAGGCAGCAGUGGGGAAUAUUGGGCAAUGGGCGCAAGCCUGACCCAGCAACGCCGCGUGAAGGAAGAAGGCUUUCGGGUUGUAAACUUCUUUUAAGAGGGAAGAGCAGAAGACGGUACCUCUUGAAUAAGCCACGGCUAACUACGUGCCAGCAGCCGCGGUAAUACGUAGGUGGCAAGCGUUGUCCGGAUUUACUGGGUGUAAAGGGCGUGCAGCCGGGAAGACAAGUCAGAUGUGAAAUCCCGCGGCUCAACCGCGGAACUGCAUUUGAAACUGGCAAACUGGAGUGUGUGAGG
rnacentral:rRNA from 1 species